UACGUAGGGUGCGAGCGUUGUCCGGAAUUAUUGGGCGUAAAGAGCUUGUAGGCGGUCUGUCGCGUCUGCUGUGAAAAUCCGGGGCUCAACCCCGGACCUGCAGUGGGUACGGGCAGACUAGAGUGUGGUAGGGGAGACUGGAAUUCCUGGUGUAGCGGUGAAAUGCGCAGAUAUCAGGAGGAACACCGAUGGCGAAGGCAGGUCUCUGGGCCAUAACUGACGCUGAGAAGCGAAAGCAUGGGGGAGCGAACAGG
rnacentral:rRNA from 1 species